rnacentral:rRNA from 1 species
UACGGGGGGAGCAAGCGUUGUUCGGAUUUACUGGGCGUAAAGGGCGCGUAGGCGGCCACGACAAGUCACUUGUGAAAUCUCCGGGCUUAACCCGGAACGGUCAAGUGAUACUGUCGGGCUAGAGUGCAGAAGGGGCAACUGGAAUUCUCGGUGUAGCGGUGAAAUGCGUAGAUAUCGAGAGGAACACCUGCGGCGAAGGCGGGUUGCUGGGCUGACACCGACGCUGAAACGCGAAAGCUAGGGGAGCGAACGGG